UCAGCUCGUGUCGUGAGAUGUUGGUUAAGUCCCGCAACGAGCGCAACCCCUAUUGUUAGUUGCCAUCAUUCAGUUGGGCACUCUAGCGAGACUGCCGGUAAUAAACCGGAGGAAGGUGGGGAUGACGUCAAAUCAUCAUGCCCCUUAUGACCUGGGCUACACACGUGCUACAAUGGUUGGUACAACGAGUUGCGAGUCGGUGACGGCGAGCUAAUCUCUUAAAGCCAAUCUCAGUUCGGAUUGUAGGCUGCAACUCGCCUACAUGAAGUCGGAAUCGCUAGUAAUCGCGGACUCAGCACGCCGCGGUGAAUACGUUCCCGGGCCUU
rnacentral:rRNA from 1 species